rnacentral:lncRNA from 1 species
CCCCAAAAUUCUCACUUUCAACUGCUGUUCUUCUUCCCACAAAAUUCCGGAGUCAAUUUGGUGCUAAUGUGGCAUGGGGUGAUUCACCAUUACCCUCAAAAAUAUGAAUUGCACCAAUCCCUUCGUGCCAUAUCAGAUGGUGAUCAAAGUGGCAUCUUGAAACGUUAUUCAACAUUACUUUUCUAGUUUUGUUGCACAUCCGAUCUAGUGGUCCAACAGGUCUCUCAAGUUGCCUGUAAAUAGAUGAUGCUAAUGUGG